UUUGACUUUUAACCAUCCAAGAAAGGAAGUGCCUGAUACGUUUUUAAGUGUGAAUAAAAAAGGUUUUUACUCAUGUGGAAAAUGUGUAGGAUGUAAAUGUAGUAAAAACAAUACUAUAAAAGGGAUUAGUAAAUUAAAGACAAAAUAUACAACAGAAGAAUAUACCAUUAAGGAUUUUAUUACUUGUUUUACUAAAAACAUUAUAUACCUUUUAAUAUGUCCAUGCGGACUUCAAUAUGUGGG